CCUACGGGAGGCAGCAGUGAGGAAUAUUGGUCAAUGGACGGAAGUCUGAACCAGCCAAGUAGCGUGCAGGAUGACGGCCCUAUGGGUUGUAAACUGCUUUUGUAUGGGGAUAAAGUCAAUCACGUGUGAUUGUUUGCAGGUACCAUACGAAUAAGGACCGGCUAAUUCCGUGCCAGCAGCCGCGGUAAUACGGAAGGUUCGGGCGUUAUCCGGAUUUAUUGGGUUUAAAGGGAGCGUAGGCCGGAGAUUAAGUGUGUUGUGAAAUGUAGACGCUCAACGUCUGACUUGCAGCGCAUACUGGUUUCCUUGAGUACGCACAACGUUGGCGGAAUUCGUCGUGUAGCGGUGAAAUGCUUAGAUAUGACGAAGAACUCCGAUUGCGAAGGCAGCUGACGGGAGCGCAACUGACGCUGAAGCUCGAAGGUGCGGGUAUCGAACAGGAUUAGAUACCCCAGUAGUC
rnacentral:rRNA from 1 species